GAUGCCGGCUCGAUCCCCCCACCGCAACGCCGCGCCGCUCUCGCUCUCGCUCUCGCCUAGCAAUGGAGCGGGCGGUGAUCGGGAGGAGGAACCACGCGGCGCGGCUAGGGCUUGAUUCCGUCCGCCUCGCCGUGCGGCCACCGCGGUGGUCCUCCUAAUCCGUGUCCCUCCUUGAGGUUCCGAAGCCUUGCGAGGGCGCCAAGUGGAAGGCGGCGGCCUCUCCGCCGAGGGAUGCCUCCCCGUGGGGCUGGGAGAAGAUGGAGUCGACGCGCCGACGCCUUCGUCGCUUCUCUCACCACUCCUAGACCCAAUCAAUGGAGCGAGGAGCCGGCGAGUGGGGAGGGGACUCAACGGCGGACGACUCCGCUUCUCCGCGCCGCAUCGCCCGCCAACCCUAAUGGGGAAGGCCGGGACCUCUCCGCCGCCGCCGUCGCCGUCGGGGAGUCGAGGCGCAACUGGUGGAGCACGGCGGCGACGUGAGAUGCCUUCCGCCGCCUUGCCGUGACGCCUCCAUGGGUCGUAUAUAGUGCGAAAGGAAAGCCAAGCUUAUGAAUGAGAAAGAGCAAUGGAUUUUCAGGUGGCCAGAGCAGAUUAGGAGAGUGACGCCAAGUAUGCUGCAUCUUGAAGAUGGUGUGUGUAAUGCAAAAAUAGAAUUCAAUGGCACCGCAUUGAUGAUCUCGUUAGUGUUAACGCGCAACAGAACAAACUCCUAAUUUGCCUAUCUCCUAAUUUGGGCCACGGUCAGUUAGGCCUAUGUAUAACUUCUUUUGGUCCACGGUAAAUUAGGCCUAUGUAUAACUUUGUAAUAAACUCGGUGCAUUACCCCAGGACUAAGAUGAACUAGAUAGGACAGAUGAGGCCUCACCAUAAAUUCUCAAUUGAAGCCCUCCAA